rnacentral:rRNA from 1 species
UGCAGUCGAGCGAACUGACGAGGAGCUUGCUCCUUUGACGUUAGCGGCGGACGGGUGAGUAACACGUGGGUAACCUACCUAUAAGACUGGAAUAACUCCGGGAAACCGGGGCUAAUGCCGGAUAACAUAUCGAACCGCAUGGUUCGAUAGUGAAAGACGGUCUUGCUGUCACUUAUAGAUGGACCCGCGCCGUAUUAGCUAGGUGGUGAGGUAACGGCUCACCAAGGCAACGAUACGUAGCCGACCUGAGAGGGUGAUCGGCCACACUGGAACUGAGACACGGUCCAGACUCCUACGGGAGGCAGCAGUAGGGAAUCUUCCGCAAUGGGCGAAAGCCUGACGGAGCAACGCCGCGUGAGUGAUGAAGGUCUUCGGAUCGUAAAGCUCUGUUGUUAGGGAAGAACAAAUGUGUAAGUAACUGUGCACAUCUUGACGGUACCUAACCAGAAAGCCACGGCUAACUACGUGCCAGCAGCCGCGGUAAUACGUAGGUGGCAAGCGUUAUCCGGAAUUAUUGGGCGUAAAGCGCGCGUAGGCGGUUUUUUAAGUCUGAUGUGAAAGCCCACGGCUCAACCGUGGAGGGUCAUUGGAAACUGGAAAACUUGAGUGCAGAAGAGGAAAGUGGAAUUCCAUGUGUAGCGGUGAAAUGCGCAGAGAUAUGGAGGAACACCAGUGACGAAGGCGGCUUUUCUGCUCUGUAACUGACGCUGAUG